AACGCGUGAGUAACCUGCCUUACACAAGGGGAUAGCCGUUGGAAACGACGAAUAAUACCCUAUGAAACUAUCACUUCGCAUGAAGCGAUAGUCAAAGUGUUAGCGGUGUAAGAUGGACUUGCGUCUGAUUAGCUAGUUGGUGAGAAAAAGCCCACCAAGGCAACGAUCAGUAGCCGGCUUGAGAGAGUGUACGGCCACAUUGGGACUGAGACACGGCCCAG
rnacentral:rRNA from 1 species